CCUACGGGUGGCAGCAGUGAGGAAUAUUGGUCAAUGGUCGGGAGUCUGAACCAGCCAAGUCGCGUGAGGGAGGACGGUCCUGCGGAUUGUAAACCUCUUUUGUCAGGGAACAAAGCGUGGCACGUGUGCCUUCAUGCGUGUACCUUAUGAAAAAGCAUCGGCUAACUCCGUGCCAGCAGCCGCGGUAAUACGGAGGAUCCGAGCGUUAUCCGGAUUUAUUGGGUUUAAAGGGUGCGAAGGGGGGCUGUUAAGUCAGUGGUCAAAGUGUGGGGUGAAACCCCGGUCCGCCGUUGAAACUGGCAGUCUUGAGUGGAAGAGAGGUAGGCGGAAUGCGCGGUGUAGCGGUGAAAUGCAUAGAUAUCACGCAGAACCCCGAUUGCGAAGGCAGCAUGCCGGAUUCAGACUGACGCUGAGGCACGAAAGCGUGGGUAUCGAACAGGAUUAGAUACCCGAGUAGUC
rnacentral:rRNA from 1 species